CACCCAGCACUGCAAAAAAAAAAAAAGAAAAAAAGAAAGAAAAGAAAAGAAAGAAUAAACUGGACCUACAUUGACCUAUAGGGGAUCAACAGUUUGAAUUACCAUAGAUUUCUCAUUAUAAAUCAUGGAGACGAGAAGACAGUGGAACAUUUUCAAAAUGCUGAAAGAACUCAACCCAGAAUUCUUUAUCCAGUAGUGAAAAUAUUAAAAAAUGAAGACGAAAUAAAUGCAUUCUGGGAUGAAGGAAAACUAAAAGAAUUCAUUGUCUGUAGUCCUGGUGUGAAAGAACUGUUAAAGAAGUUCUCUACAUAGGGAAUGGAUACCGGAAGAAAACUUGGAAUAACGACAAGUAGCAAUAGAAAUGGUAAAUAUCUGGAUAAAUAUAAUGGAGUAUUAUUUCCUUAUUGAGUUCUUCAAAGUAUAUUCACCAAAACUAUGACGUGUUUGAUGGAGUUUGGAGUUCAGAUAGAUGUGCAUCAUAAGAUAACUACUACUCAGGGGAGAGUGUAAAGUGAUCCAUAAGGUGGUAAGGUUUCCUCAGUCCACCUAGGGAGUCAAAGGUUGAUUCUAAUUAGACUGUGAAAAGUUGAGUUUCACGUUAUAGCUCCCAGACCAACAACUAAAAAUUACUUAAGCUACAUUCAUAAGUUCAAUAAAUAAAUGAAAAUGGAAUACUAAAAAAAAAUGUUCAGAUAACCCAAAAGAAAGCAGAAAAGAGGAAGUAGAGAAAUUUAAAUGGAGGAGACAGUACCACCCACUGUGCUGCAUCUCCACAUGCAGCCCACCACUAGCAUGGGACAACACAGAAGAUGACCCAAUUCCAGAAGAUGACAGUGGGGUCUUCUACCAAGGUACACCCUGAAGCUCCACCUGGAAGACAAAUGUAGAGGAGCAAUUGCUGCUAACAUUAUUUAAUACACUGUAGUAUGCACAUUUUCACAUGACUGUCUUCUUUUCUUCAGAAUUUUAUCAACCUGGUAUUAUCAAAGCCUCAACAAGAGACAUCAACAAUUAUUUAUAGAUAUUACCAAAUUUGCCAUAUUAGUUUUCCAUGAGAAAAGUCAAAUUUACUCAAUGGAAUCACCAUGACAGACUCUCAGAUUAUGAUUGCACUUGGUUUUGCAUCUGUGUUUAUCUCAUUUGCCAACUACUAAUCCAAAUAUGAAUAUUGUGCUUUUGUGUGGUGUUAAGUCAGCUAUUUUGUUGUUGUGACUUAAGGAUCUG
rnacentral:lncRNA from 1 species